GCAAACAGACCCAAGGCUGAUUGACAGCAAGGACGAUGGCGCAAAACCCCAGAGGCCGGGCUUUCCCAGGCAGUCUGCUCUCGCCCGCUCCUGUCCCACGGUCCCGUCUGUGACAUGGCGACAACGGCCUCUGCCUUGCUUGUCCGUUGUGAAGAUCAGAGUAGAGGGGGAUUCAGAAAAAGGUGAAAUUCCCCCUCUUUCUGCAGUGAGUGUUGGACAGUGGCCUCAUUAACUGGGUUACAUACCCAUUUGGCAGGGGAACAGGUGAGCAGCACAGAAGUAAUGGUGCCUGGAUGAAGAAAGUCACAAAAAGAGUGCACGGAGAUCUCAAAGAGAGGACACCCAUUAUUUUUUAGCUUGAUCGUUUCGAAUGCCUGGCACAGAGGAAAAUGUACAAGCCAUCUUGAAAGCCAAUGAAUGGAAUCCUAAAGCCUAGGAGGGAAAGUGUAUUCUAGAGAAGAGAGACACCAGUUUUCCAACCAGACAGAGCAAGCGAGACCUCUGACAAGUUGUGUGACCUCAGGCAACUUCCCUGAGCUUUCUGAACUUCCGGCUCCUCAUCUAUAGAACGGGGAUACCUGUGGUGCCUUGCACAGCCUGCCGUGGGAUCAAGUCAAGGAGCCCGGAUGUGGAGGAGAGUGCCUCAGAACCUGCUCCUCAGGCAGUGACAGCUACUCCUGAGCCGUCAGCCCAGGAGCAGGAGCGAUCACUUGAGCUAUUCAUUAGCAUAAACAUUUCACAACAAUGUCAUUUUAAUUCUCCCAAAGAGCACCUGUUAUCUAUCCCACAAAUUGGACCCUCCACAGCAUAAAUCAAGAACACUUCCCAUGUGUUUUAAAUGAAGAAGUGCCCUUCCCCCCAAUAAGGCAAAUAUUAAACAAAGCCAAAGCAAAAAAAAAAAAAACCCAGACACAGAACAGAAACAUCCCACACUGUGACUUUAAUAGCUGAUCAACUGCAGAUCAAGAGCUUUAAUUUCUCCUCGACUCUGGGUUGAUGGGAGACGCUGAGUC
ensembl:lncRNA